UGAACAAACUAACUUGGCUGCUUAGUCCCA
rnacentral:piRNA from 1 species